rnacentral:rRNA from 1 species
UACAGAGGGGGCAAGCGUUAUUCGGAAUUAUUGGGCGUAAAGGGCGCGUAGGCGGCCUGACAAGUGGAAGGUGAAAUCCCUCGGCUUAACCGAGGAACUGCCUUCCAAACUGUUUGGCUUGAGUCCGGGAGAGGAGAGUGGAAUUCCCGGUGUAGCGGUGAAAUGCGCAGAUAUCGGGAAGAACACCUAUGGCGAAGGCAGCUCUCUGGGACGGUACUGACGCUGAGACGCGAAAGCGUGGGGAGCAAACAGG